GUGAGGAAUUUUGCGCAAUGGGGGAAACCCUGACGCAGCAACGCCGCGUGAGUGAUGAAGGCCUUCGGGUCGUAAAGCUCUGUCAAGCGGGAAGAACCCAUGUGGUGCGAACAAUACCACGUGUUGACGGUACCGCUGAAGGAAGCACCGGCUAACUCCGUGCCAGCAGCCGCGGUAAUACGGAGGGUGCAAGCGUUAUUCGGAAUUACUGGGCGUAAAGGGCGCGUAGGCGGCUUUUUAAGUCAGAUGUGAAAGCCCGGGGCUUAACCCCGGAAGUGCAUCUGAAACUAAAAGGCUUGAGUAUGGGAUAGGGAAGUGGAAUUCCUGGUGUAGCGGUGAAAUGCGUAGAUAUCAGGAGGAACACCGGUGGCGAAGGCGACUUCCUGGACCAAUACUGACGCUGAGGCGCGAAGGCGUGGGGAGCAAACAGGAUUAGAAACCCUGGUAGUCC
rnacentral:rRNA from 1 species